rnacentral:rRNA from 1 species
UACAGAGGGGGCAAGCGUUGUUCGGAAUUACUGGGCGUAAAGGGCGCGUAGGCGGCCUUCUAAGUCGAACGUGAAAUCCCCGGGCUCAACCCGGGAACUGCGUCCGAUACUGGAAGGCUUGAAUCCGGGAGAGGGAUGCGGAAUUCCAGGUGUAGCGGUGAAAUGCGUAGAUAUCAGGAGGAACACCGGUGGCGAAGGCGGAUCUCUGGGCCGAUACUGACGCUGAGGAGCGAAAGCGUGGGGAGCGAACAGG